rnacentral:rRNA from 1 species
UGAGGUUAAGUUAACAAGGGCGCAUGGUGAAUGCCUUGGCACUAGGAGCCGAUGAAGGACGGGACUAACACCGAUAUGCUUCGGGGAGCUGUACGUAAGCUAUGAUCCGGAGAUUUCCGAAUGGGGCAACCCAGCAGUUUUAAUCAACUGUUACCACUAGAUGAAUUCAUAGUCUAGUUGGAGGUAAACGCUGUGAACUGAAACAUCUCAUUAGCAGCAGGAAUAUAAAGAAAUUUCGAUUCCCUAAGUAGCGGCGAGCGAACGGGGAACAGCCCAAACCAAAGUGCUUGCACUUUGGGGUUGUAGGACUGAACAUUUGAGUUACCAAAGAACUUGAUAGUCGAAGGAUUUGGGAAAAUCCGCCAUAGAUGGUGAUAGCCCAGUAGAUUAAAUCAAAUUCUCUCAGUUCAGGAUCCUGAGUACGGCGGAACACGUGAAAUUCCGUCGGAAUCCGGGAGGACCAUCUCCCAAGGCUAAAUACUACCUAGUGACCGAUAGUGAACCAGUACCGUGAGGGAAAGGUGAAAAGCACCCCGGGAGGGGAGUGAAAUAGUUCCUGAAACCAUGUGCCUACAAUAAGUCAGAGCGCGUUAAUGCGUGAUGGCGUGCCUUUUGUAGAAUGAACCGGCGAGUUAUGAUCCCGUGCAAGGUUAAGACUAAAAAGUCGGAGCCGUAGCGAAAGCGAGUCUGAAAUGGGCGUUUUGAGUACGAGGUUAUAGACCCGAAACCAGGUGACCUAUCCAUGUCCAGGUUGAAGGUGCGGUAAAACGCACUGGAGGACCGAACCCGUGUAAGUUGAAAAUUGCUGGGAUGAGGUGUGGAUAGCGGUGAAAUUCCAAACGAACUUGGAGAUAGCUGGUUCUCUCCGAAAUAGCUUUAGGGCUAGCCUCGGAAUUAGGAUCAUGGAGGUAGAGCACUAUUUGGACUAGGGGCCCGUCUUGGGUUACUGAAUUCAGAUAAACUCCGAAUGCCAUUGAUUCAUAUCCGGGAGUCAGACGAUGAGUGAUAAGAUCCACCGUCGAAAGGGGAACAGCCCAGACCAUCAGUUAAGGUCCCUAAAUGUAUGCUAAGUGGAAAAGGAUGUGGAGUUGCAUAGACAACUAGGAUGUUGGCUCAGAAGCAGCCACCAUUUAAAGAGUGCGUAAUAGCUCACUAGUCGAGUGAUCCUGCGCCGAAAAUGUACCGGGGCUAAGCAUACUACCGAAACCAUGGAUGCGACCAUUAGGUCGCGUGAUAGGAGAGCGUUCUAAGGGCGGUGAAGCAAGAUCGUGAGGACUUGUGGAGCGCUUAGAAGUGAGAAUGCCGGUAUGAGUAGCGAAAGAUAGGUGAGAAUCCUAUCCACCGAAUGACUAAGGUUUCCUGGGGAAGGCUCGUCCUCCCAGGGUUAGUCGGGACCUAAGUCGAGGCCGAGAGGCGUAGACGAUGGAUAACAGGUUGAGAUUCCUGUACUAGUUAAGUGCGUUUGAGCAAUGGAGGGACGCAGGAGGCUAAGAUGUGCAUUCUGUUGGAUUAGAAUGUCCAAGCAGUAAGUCUUGUGAAGAGUCAAAUGCUUUUCACUUUAAGGACAAGCUGUGAUGGGGAGCGAAAUUUAGUAGCGAAGCGUCUGAUGUCACACUGCCGAGAAAAGCUUCUAGUGAGUACUUAACUACCCGUACCGCAAACCGACACAGGUAGUCGAGGAGAGAAUCCUAAGGUGAGCGAGUGAACUCUCGUUAAGGAACUCGGCAAAAUGACCCCGUAACUUCGGGAGAAGGGGUGCUGAUCGCAAGAUCAGCCGCAGUGAAUAGGCCCAGGCGACUGUUUAUCAAAAACACAGGUCUCUGCAAAAUCGUAAGAUGACGUAUAGGGGCUGACGCCUGCCCGGUGCUGGAAGGUUAAAAGGAUGGGUUAGCUUCGGCGAAGCUCANCGAAAUUCCUUGUCGGGUAAGUUCCGACCCGCACGAAAGGCGUAACGAUCUGGGCACUGUCUCAACGAGAGACUCGGUGAAAUUAUAUUGUCCGUGAAGAUGCGGACUACCCGCGACAGGACGGAAAGACCCCAUGGAGCUUUACUGUAGCUUGAUAUUGAGUGUUUGUACAGCUUGUACAGGAUAGGUAGGAGCCAUAGAAACCGGAACGCUAGUUUCGGUGGAGGCGUUGGUGGGAUACUACCCUCGCUGUAUGACCACUCUAACCCGCACCACUAAUCGUGGUGGGAGACAGUGUCAGGUGGGCAGUUUGACUGGGGCGGUCGCCUCCUAAAAAGUAACGGAGGCGCCCAAAGGUUCCCUCAGAAUGGUUGGAAAUCAUUCGCAGAGUGUAAAGGCACAAGGGAGCUUGACUGCGAGACAGACAGGUCGAGCAGGGACGAAAGUCGGGCUUAGUGAUCCGGUGGUACCGUAUGGAAGGGCCAUCGCUCAACGGAUAAAAGC